rnacentral:lncRNA from 10 species
UAGAUUCUCAGAUCUGGUUCUUCCCAGAAAUGAAGCUCCCUAGAGGAGGUUGUGGGGUGGAGCAGGAUGAAUAUUCCUGUGUGGGACUUGGGGAGCAGGUGCUGCAGGUGGAGGAGCCGCAUGGCCCUGGUGUCCUGGGGAAGGAUCCUCCCUUCUUGGAGGGAGGGAACCUCUGCUGGGCCAGCAAAUGGUCAGGGAAGGAGGAGAGAGGAAGCUGGCACUAAAUCAUUGACCCCUGAACAGGCUUCUGGGCACUAGCUGAAAUGUCAAAAAUGUUUUACUCUUUGGAGGAAGAGCCUCACUCGGGUUGCACAGCAUAGUAGUGGGUGGAGGACCCUAUAGAGGGCUGACUGAUGUCUUCAGAGUAGCUUGCUUCUUAAAAAGAGAAAAGAGAAACCUCCUCCUGGAAGCAGGGCUGAGCCUCUGGGGCAAGUGGACCCUGAAGCUAUGGCAGGACUGAGUUCCUAGGAGCCAGACCCUCAGCCUCAGGCCUCACACUCCAGUCUAUAGAGCCUGCUCCCUUUAGGGUAGGGAAGGUAAAGCCCAGGGCUCAGUUCGGCUCCAUUCUACAGUCAGGAAAGUGUCACAUUAUCGUGGCAGGUUGAGAAGCACAGCAGGAGAUGGUAGCAUAGAGGGGCACAUCUCCCACUGAGGCACAAGAAGGCUGAACUGAGAUUUAAGGGAGCCGGAGGAGGUAGUCACCCAUUUCUUUAUGAAUUCAUGGAUUACUAUCUUCCUUCGAUUGUGUAUAAUUUGUUAUUAUCAUCUAUUUUGGCUUAGAUUGUUUCGGACUUGGCCAUGUGCCAACUCCUGGAAUUCUGCGGCUGCAUCCUCAUCUUCUUUGAGCACUUCCUUACUUUCUUGUGCAAAGAGACAUUUCAACCAUCUUGGCUCACUUUGUGUUUUCCCUGCCCAAGCUCUGCAAUCGGCUUUUUCUGCAGGAGUCCUAGUGAGCAGGAAAUUUAGCCACAUUUUAAAAGUAGGUGAAUGAGAAGAAGGCUUUCCUAGUAUAUGGAACAGCAUGAUUAAAGACAAAGAAAUAUGAAAUACAAGUGUAAAUGGUAGAAAGGACUGCC